UGGGGAAUUUGGACAAUGGGCGAAAGCCUGAUCCAGCAAUGCCGCGUGUGUGAAGAAGGCCUUCGGGUUGUAAAGCACUUUUGUCCGGAAAGAAAUCCUUGGCUCUAAUACAGUCGGGGGAUGACGGUACCGGAAGAAUAAGCACCGGCUAACUACGUGCCAGCAGCCGCGGUAAUACGUAGGGUGCAAGCGUUAAUCGGAAUUACUGGGCGUAAAGCGUGCGCAGGCGGUUUGCUAAGACCGAUGUGAAAUCCCCGGGCUCAACCUGGGAACUGCAUUGGUGACUGGCAGGCUAGAGUAUGGCAGAGGGGGGUAGAAUUCCACGUGUAGCAGUGAAAUGCGUAGAGAUGUGGAGGAAUACCGAUGGCGAAGGCAGCCCCCUGGGCCAAUACUGACGCUCAUGCACGAAAGCGUGGGGAGCAAACAGGAUUAGAUACCCUGGUAGUCCACGCCCUAAACGAUGUCAACUAGUUGUUGGGGAUUCAUUUCCUUAGUAACGUAGCUAACGCGUGAAGUUGACCGCCUGGGGAGUACGGUCGCAAGAUUAAAACU
rnacentral:rRNA from 1 species